rnacentral:tRNA from 1 species
GCAAAUUUGGUGCGGAUCUCGUCAGCGUGAUUGCCCUCUCAAGGCUGAAACAGGGGUUCGAUUCCCCUGGGGAGCGCCA